CCUACGGGAGGCAGCAGUGAGGAAUAUUGGUCAAUGGACGAGAGUCUGAACCAGCCAAGUAGCGUGAAGGAUGACUGCCCUAUGGGUUGUAAACUUCUUUUAUAUGGGAAUAAACUGUUCCACGUGUGGGCUUUUGUAUGUACCAUAUGAAUAAGGAUCGGCUAACUCCGUGCCAGCAGCCGCGGUAAUACGGAGGAUCCGAGCGUUAUCCGGAUUUAUUGGGUUUAAAGGGAGCGUAGGUGGAUUGUUAAGUCAGUUGUGAAAGUUUGCGGCUCAACCAUAAAAUUGCAGUUGAAACUGGCAGUCUUGAGUACAGUAGAGGUAGGCGGAAUGCGUGGUGUAGCGGUGAAAUGCUUAGAUAUCACGAAGAACUCCGAUUGCGAAGGCAGCUCACUGGACUGCAACUGACACUGAGGCUCGAAAGUGUGGGUAUCAAACAGGAUUAGAUACCCCGGUAGUC
rnacentral:rRNA from 1 species